rnacentral:rRNA from 1 species
AGACCCGAAACCCGGUGAUCUAGCCAUGGGCAGGUUGAAGGUUGGGUAACACUAACUGGAGGACCGAACCGACUAAUGUUGAAAAAUUAGCGGAUGACCUGUGGCUGGGGGUGAAAGGCCAAUCAAACCGGGAGAUAGCUGGUUCUCCCCGAAAGCUAUUUAGGUAGCGCCUCGUGAAUUCAUCUCCGGGGGUAGAGCACUGUUUCGGCUAGGGGGCCAUCCCGGCUUACCAACCCGAUGCAAACUGCGAAUACCGGAGAAUGUUAUCACGGGAGACACACGGCGGGUGCUAACGUCCGUCGUGAAGAGGGAAACAACCCAGACCGCCAGCUAAGGUCCCAAAGUCAUGGUUAAGUGGGAAACGAUGUGGGAAGGCCCAGACAGCCAGGAUGUUGGCUUAGAAGCAGCCAUCAUUUAAAGAAAGCGUAAUAGCUCACUGGUCGAGUCGGCCUGCGCGGAAGAUGUAACGGGGCUAAACCAUGCACCGAAGCUGCGGCAGCGAACGUAUCACUUAAAGCGAUUCAGCGGAUGACGAUUGACGGAGCGAAGCGACGUCAAAGCGUAUACAAAGUCGAGUCGGUUUAAGGAUACGUUCGUUGGGUAGGGGAGCGUUCUGUAAGCCUGUGAAGGUGGCCUGUGAGGGUUGCUGGAGGUAUCAGAAGUGCGAAUGCUGACAUAAGUAACGAUAAAGCGGGUGAAAAGCCCGCUCGCCGGAAGACCAAGGGUUCCUGUCCAACGUUAAUCGGGGCAGGGUGAGUCGACCCCUAAGGCGAGGCCGAAAGGCGUAGUCGAUGGGAAACGGGUUAAUAUUCCCGUACUUGGUGUUACUGCGAAGGGGGGACGGAGAAGGCUAUGUUGGCCGGGCGACGGUUGUCCCGGUUUAAGCGUGUAGGUGUGUGUUCCAGGUAAAUCCGGUU